GGAUGUGAGGGUGAUUUGACUGCAACACCUGUUACCCCUGGCUGGCUAGGUGGGUGUCCUUUUUGUCCCUCAAAGCUCCAUGUGCAUCCCUCCCAAAGCUGCUUGGUUCAAGAGUGUGACCACCCCCUACAAAGGAGGACCUCUUUGGUCAAGGGUAUAUGAGUAGCUGCGCUCCUUUGCUACCACCUCCAAAUAAGCUCUCCAGUAAGGGAGUUUGGAUGCUAGAGAUUUAGAAAUAGAAAAAAAAAUCUUUGAUGAUUGAAUAUUCUUU
rnacentral:snRNA from 1 species